rnacentral:rRNA from 1 species
GACGAACGCUGGCGGCGUGCUUAACACAUGCAAGUCGAACGGGUCUGCCCUGUUUUUUGCGGGGUGGGUCAGUGGCGAACGGGUGAGUAACACGUGAGUAACCUGCCCCUCACUUCUGGAUAACCGCUUGAAAGGGUGGCUAAUACGGGGUGUUCUGGCUGUGCCGCAUGGUGUGGCUGGGAAAGAUUCACUUUUGUGGUGUUUUGGUGGGGGAUGGGCUCGCGGCCUAUCAGCUUGUUGGUGGGGUGAUGGCCUGCCAAGGCUUUGACGGGUAGCCGGCCUGGGAGGGUGGGCGGUCACACUGGGACUGAGAUACGGCCCAGACUCCGGCGGGAGGCAGCAGUGGGGGGUAUUGCACAAUGGGCGGAAGCCUGAUGCAGCGACGUCGCGUGAGGGAUGGAGGCCUUCGGGUUGUGAACCUCUUUCGCCGGUGAAGAAGGUCCUGCUCUUUGUGGUGGGGUUGACGGUAGCCGGGUUAUGAAGCGCCGGCUAACUACGUG